UUUUCAACUUCCAACAAAACCCAGCCAAGUUAAUUCUACUAUUAAUCAGAUGGAACCUAUUUUGAAAUCCUAGAUUGUAAACAACUUGCAGACGAAGAGGUUGCAUU